rnacentral:misc_RNA from 1 species
UCUCCGUAGGUGAACCAGCGGAAGGAUCAUUAACGAGUUAAGAACUUCGAAACUCUUGUGUACAAACAACUGUUUACAUUAGCUUUUGAUUUGGGACUCUGAUUAUUCCCACCACUCACAACCACUAACCUGUCUUCUGUCUGAAUGAUUAUUUACUAAUCAAAACUUUAAACAACGGAUCUCUUGGUUCUCCCAUUGAUGUAGAACGCAGCAGAUCGGAAGAGCAAGCGUAUCAACACCAGUCACGUAUAAUCACCAGUUAUGCCGACAUAUGUUUGA